CCUGUACUUCCUCCGUCCCAAAAUUCUUGUUUUAGAUUUAUCUAAAUAUGGAUGUAUCAAGUCACAUUUUAGUAUUAGAUACAUCCGUAUCUAGAAAAAUCUAAGACAAAAAAUUUGGGACAGAGGAAGUACUAA
rnacentral:pre_miRNA from 1 species